GACCAGAUUCCAGSCCCUACGGGGCGCAGCAGGCGCGAAACCUCCGCAAUGUGAGAAAUCGCGACGGGGGGAUCCCAAGUSCCAUUCCUAACGGGAUGGCUUUUCAUUARUAUAAAGARMUUUUGGAAUAAGAGCUGGGCAAGACCGGUGCCAGCCGCCGCGGUAACACCGGCAGCUCUAGUGGUAACAAUUUUUAUUGGGCCUAAAGCGUCCGUAGCCGGUUUAAUAAGUCUCUGGUGAAAUCCUGUAGCUUAACUGUGGGAAUUGCUGGAGAUACUAUUAGACUUGAGACCGGGAGAGGUUAGAGGUACUCCCAGGGUAGAGGUGAAAUUCUGUAAUCCUGGGAGGACCGCCUGUUGCGAAGGCGUCUAACUGGAACGGUUCUGACGGUGAGGGACGAAAGUUAGGGGCGC
rnacentral:rRNA from 1 species